rnacentral:rRNA from 1 species
CCCACUCUCUUAUCCACACUACACAACACCAGAUGCCAGCGUUGGACAGGCAGGGGCGGUGGCGAAGGCCUCCGGCGGUCGGAGCAGGUCGCCGGGCGUGGGGAUGGUGAGCGGCAUGGCUAGGCUCCAGCGACCGCGGGCGUCUCCUCCACCGCAUCCCCACCAUGGAUGGCCGGCCCCGAACUCCUUCGACGCCGCAUCCCGUCCUUCGACGCCGCAUCCCGUCCUUCGACGCCGCAUCCCUGCCAUGGACAGCCGGCCCCUUAAAUCCUCCGACGCCGCAUCCUUGCAGGUCAUCCAACGUUGCAUCCCCUGCCAUGGACGGCCAGCCCCAAACUCCUCCGCCUGGGACUUCGGGUAGGCGGGAUGGGCUCGAGGCCGCGGUUGUGGCCGGAGGAGAUCCGGUGGUGCCUCGGUGGUAGCGGCAGCGAGGGCGUGGCACUGGCUAUAUGGGGCGCUCCAUGCGGGAUCCUUCCCGAGAGCGAGGGGCUGCUUAGGCUCUUCGGCUGGUCCCGCCGCUCAUGGAGCCGCCCGCCUCCGAGUCCUUGGUGGCACACUCCCCCUGCAUCACUUUCGGCAGCGGUGGGGACGGCGGGUCGCUGCCUGCUGACGGUGAUGUGGCGUACCUCGAUGACGGGCCGACGAGGACCCGAGCCGCCAUGCCAUUCAAGCCCUCUUCGGCUGCUCCGACCGCCUCGACCAAGCGGUCAUGGUCGCGGCGGCCGCCGCCCAGGUGAUCGCGCUUGUCGUCUACAUCUAGCUCUUGAGUGUGGCCAUCAACUCGCUCUCAUGGUCAUCAGCUAUCUGAACCAUCAAGCAGGAAAAAGGCCGGGCCCAGUUGGUGGGGGGAUGCUGGAGGUGUGUAGCGGCAGGGAGCGUCGCUGGCGUGCGAGAUUUGAUGCGCAUGAAGGGCUGCAGCUGGGAGCGGCGACUGCCCCUCCGACCGAGCUGUUCAAUGCCGCAGCGGGGGCCUACCUCGACGACAACGACGAACGGGCCAGUGCCAAGGGCAAGACCGACGUGCAGUACAUCAUCCUCGACAGGGUGCAGCCAUCAGCAGCAUCGUCAGGAGGGGCAUGCUGGAUGAGCUCAAGAAGACCCUGGUCAGGAGGAGCAUCCAGAAAAAAGGCCCGUAGGGACGAUGGGAAGGAGAGCGUUCGGGCUGGGAGGCCUCUCCUCCCGAACGAUUUCAUUCGUACCAGGCGCCUGUCGCACCGAACUCCUCGUUGUCCCAGACCGAACGUUCGGUCCUUAUCUACGUGCAAAAACGCUGGGAUGAGGCCAGAGAGGGCUGACUUGGUGACGGAAAACCGGGGCGACCGAGAAAACCAGCAGCGAAAACAACAGCGUCCUCCUCGCUCUGCAACGGUCCACGACCCGACGCAUCGUCGUUUUGCUAGAAAUAAUACUAUACGUGGUAGGUAGCUGAAAAGUCCAUGGUUCUCUGCAUCUGCCAGAUCAGGGCAUGCAUGCUGGAUUGCUGGCCGUCGGCUUUCAGUUUCGGUGUUUCCUCCAAGAGAUUCAGUACGUAGUCUGUAUAGGAUGGCUGACCUGUCUGUCAGUUUUCAGUUUUAUUGUUGUCUCCAGAAGAUUCACAAGUCUAUAUAGAAUCUGAAUCUUUACUUUUUCUACAAAAAUGUGAAUCAUUACUCUCC